rnacentral:rRNA from 1 species
CGUGCUUAACACAUGCAAGUCGAGCGGAGAUUGCAUUUAUGUAAUCUUAGCGGCGGACGGGUGAGUAACGCGUAGGCAACCUGCCUUGCACAGAGGGAUAACACCGGGAAACUGGUGCUAAUACCACAUGAUAUCAUAACAAGGCAUCUUGAAAUGAUCAAAGGAGAAAUCCGGUGCAAGAUGGGCCUGCGUCCGAUUAGUUAGUUGGUGAGGUAACGGCUCACCAAGGCGACGAUCGGUAGCCGAACUGAGAGGUUGAUCGGCCACAUUGGGACUGAGACACGGCCCAGACUCCUACGGGGGGCAGCAGUGGGGAAUAUUGCGCAAUGGGGGGAACCCUGACGCAGCAACGCCGCGUGAAGGAAGAAGGCCUUCGGGUUGUAAACUUUUUUGAUUGGGGAAGAAAAAAAUGACGGUACCCAAGGAACAAGCCACGGCUAACUACGUGCCAGCAGCCGCGGUAAUACGUAGGUGGCGAGCGUUGUCCGGAAUUACUGGGUGUAAAGGGCGUGUAGGCGGGAUUGUAAGUCAGAUGUGAAAUUCCAGGGCUUAACUCUGGAGGUGCAUCUGAAACUAUAAUUCUUGAGUGCUGGAGAGGAAAGCGGAAUUCCUAGUGUAGCGGUGAAAUGCGUAGAUAUUAGGAAGAACACCAGUGGCGAAGGCGGCUUUCUGGACAGUAACUGACGCUGAGGCGCGAAAGCGUGGGGAGCAAACAGGAUUAGAUACCCUGGUAGUCCACGCUGUAAACGAUGGAUACUAGGUGUAGGAGGUAUCGACCCCUUCUGUGCCGGAGUUAACACAAUAAGUAUCCCACCUGGGGAGUACGGCCGCAAGGCUGAAACUCAAAGGAAUUGACGGGGGCCCGCACAAGCAGUGGAGUAUGUGGGUUAAUUCGAAAGGCACGCGAAGAACCUUACCAGGGCUUGACAUCCCUCGCGAUACCUUAGAGAUAUGUUAGUCCUUCGGGACGAGGACACAGGUGGUUCAUGGUUGUCGUCAGCUCGUGUCGUGAGAUGUUGGGUUAAGUCCCGCUACGAGCGCAACCCCUAUUGUUAGUUGCCAUCAUUAAGUUGAGCACUCUUACGAGUCUCCCUGGUGACAUAUCGGAGUAAUGGUGGGUACGACGUCAUAUCAUCAUGCCCUUUAUCUCCUGGUCUACACAUGUACUACAAGUGGUCACUACAAAGGGAAGCAUAUACCGCAAGGAGGAGCAUAUCCCCAAAGGUGACCUCAGUUCGGAUUGUGGGCUGAAACCCGCCCACAUGAA